rnacentral:rRNA from 1 species
GAUGAACGCUGGCGGCGUGCCUAAUACAUGCAAGUCGAGCGAACAGAUGAUGAGCUUGCUCCUCUGACGUUAGCGGCGCACGGGUGAGUAACACGUGGAAAUACCACCUAUAAGACUUGGAUAACUUCGUGAAACCGGACCUAAUACCGCAUAAUAUCUUUAACCGCAUGGUUCAAUAGUGAAGGAAGGUUUUGCUGUCACGUAUAGAUGGAUCCGCGCCGAAUUAGCUAGUUGGUAAGGUAACGGCUUACCAAGGCAACGAGGCGUAGCCGACCUGAGAGGGUGAGCGGCCACACUGGAACUGAGACACGGACCAGACUCCUAGGGGAGGCAGCAGUGGGGAAGCGUGCGAAAUGGGCGAAAGCCUGACGGAGCAACGCCGCGUGAGUGAUGAAGGUCUUGGGACCGUAGAGCUGUGUUAUUCGGGAAGAAGAAAUGUGGAAGUAACGAUGCACGUCUUGACGGUAGCUAGUCAGAAAGCCACGGCUAACUACGUG